AGAAAAAAAAAAUAUAUAUAUACAACAUACCAAGCACUUCUGAGUACUUCAAAACAACAAGUGCCUUGAGAAUGGGACCACUCUAGGCUGGUAUCACUGAACUGCCUUCAAAGCACACUGAAAAACACACGUUCCCCCUUAAGUCAUUGCCAGAAGUCCUACCAAAGUAGACAAGAAAUGUGCUCCUCCCCUCACUUUCCUCUGACAUGAAUGUAUUUAACUAAGAGUCCAAGGCACCACCACAGAUGAGAGGAGUCAGAGAGCAGAAUGAAGCCCAGGUUCAGGGCAUGAGUCCAGAGGAUGCACAAUGACUUCAUUUAGUGUAUAGAUCGAUAUACAGGCUGCAGCUUCAAUCAUGCUGAACAGACGUGAACAAGAUUAUGAGAAUCUCCAUCCCGAAUCUCCCAGGAGCCUAUUUAUCUCUCUUCUGCCUCAAUCUUCCUGACACAGGAAAGUUUGACAGGAGACUCCACCUAGUGUGAAAACAACCUGGGAAUAUUCUUCCCUAGCCCCUCUUUGUAGUGGUGUACCAAACUCUGACAAGCUGGGACACCACUGGAGAGGGUAAGUCAGAGCAGCCCUCAGGCAGCACAGCCACUGACUAAGGACAAGUUCCUCCUCAGCCAAGACCCAGAAAAGGCACCCAAGGAUACAGGUUCCUUCCCAGCCAUGGUUUUUUCAAUGCUCUUUUUCAUCAACAGCAUUGAAAGAUUUUCAAGGUAGCUCCAUCUUCCAUGGCAUCGUUUAAGUGGAAGCUGUAGCACUGUAAAAGCUGUGACAGUGUAAAGUAGGUAUCUAUUACCUGUUCUACACAAACCCCCCUCCUUUUUGGAAACACUAUUCACAGUUUGCAUCCACAGUGGAAAACUCAAUCCACCUGCAUCUCCCCCCACAGCAGGCAAUAACUCCAUGUGGAUUUUCUACCUGCAGCCAUUUUGAGUCCUCAGUGCAACGUGAAAUGGAAGUACAGAUGGGAGUCAGAGACAGGAAAUCAGGGGUCCUGCACAGUAACUUCAUGUAGGGUCAGCCCAGGCAACUGAACGAAAUGGAACUGUUGGGCCAUGAAAAGGUGCCCACUCUGACACACAAAAAUAUGAAACCUAUUAAACAUGCAAAUGGCUGAAAGGUCAGGCAACUCUUCUGAUCCUAAAGAUGCAAGACUGCUUUGGGUAAGGAUCUUGGCAGCAGAACAUUUUUUUUGUUGCUUAAUCUUGAGGGAAAAGCAGGCAAAAAAAGAGCAAAGUGAAAAACAGGGGAGGGUGUAUGCGCGUGGGAAAAGUAUUUACAUACAAGGAUAGCAGUCUCAAGGGACAGUGGUGUGAGUAAAUCUUGCAGGGCUCAGAAAGUAGUAAACAGUUCAAAAAACCCCAAGUGGUUACUUGGUGUCAGUCAAUACUGACACCUCCUCUCCCUAAAACAGGCUUCAGCUACAGUUCUUUUGGCAAACUGUUUCUCACUGUGAAUAUACAGGAGGAAUCCAGUGUUUGUUUCCAUUUCUUACUGUCCUCCCUUCUAGUUCUCAUUUUUUCCACAUCCUUCCCCUGCACCUCGUGCUCAAAUUCCCACUGGCAAUCCUUUAGCAGGAAGCUUCUUUAGUCAGCUGCAGUAUGUCCCACAGCAACAGUCUACCCACACCUCAGCAGUUCCUAGAUGUCCAGACCUCAGCCUUUUGCAACGCAGCUAGAGAGCGCUUAUAGUGGUCAUGAACACUUUAAGCCCUUUACCUGCUGCAUCCAGUCCACAAUGGAGCCACAAAAACAUAGAUGUCCCAGCGUGAUAGAUGGGUAAUGAGGAAACAGGUCAAUUAAGCAGCACUACCACCCACAUCUUAUCAUUAUAGCCAGACUGCUGCUUUGCUUUGUUAAGAUCCAACUGAUCUCAUUUCCCCUCUGGCCCCAUUGGUUGCUGGUCGACCUCUGGAUCCACUAAGGACGAUGCAAACGCUGACUGGACGAUCUGAAAC